rnacentral:rRNA from 1 species
UACAGAGGGUGCGAGCGUUAAUCGGAAUUACUGGGCGUAAAGCGCGUGUAGGCGGCUUUGCAAGUCGGGUGUGAAAGCCCUCAGCUCAACUGAGGAAGUGCGCCCGAAACUGCAGAGCUUGAGUACCGGAGAGGAUGGCGGAAUUCCCCAAGUAGAGGUGAAAUUCGUAGAUAUGGGGAGGAACACCGGUGGCGAAGGCGGCCAUCUGGACGGAUACUGACGCUGAGGAGCGAAAGCGUGGGGAGCGAACAGG